AGUUAUAGAAACCAACUCACUGAAGUAUAAUGGAAUCUGGCCACCAAAAAUAGAAUGGGCAAAUCAACCGGAGAAUUGCAGUAACAUCACGCUUCAUUACAGCUGCAGAAAUAAAAGCCAAGAGAUUUUCAACCUUGGUCAACUGAUGCCACAGCACAAUUACACCUGCACUGCGAAUGUAAAUUACAGAAAUGACACCUUCAUUGUUAAGGAUAUAGCAGUUAACAUCAGCUGUGAUAUAAACAUACACCUGGACAAUAAGACAGGAAAUACUUCUGUCCAGCUCAUGUUGAACAGUACAAGCACACAGUGUCCUCAGCUCGUGCAUAAUCUUACUUUUAAAAGUUGUGAAAAAGGAAAAGAGGAGUGCCAGGCAAACCACCAUAAUUUCACAGCCCUAACUCCAUACACAGAUUAUACAUUCUUCGCAAAGGCCUUAUAUAAUGGAACACCUGUAUCAACAAGCAAGGAUAAAACUAU